rnacentral:rRNA from 1 species
AGCGGCGGAUGGGUGAGUGACACGUGGGGAACCUGCCCCUAAGUCUGGGAUACCAUUUGGAAACAGGUGCUAAUACCGGAUAAUAAAGCAGAUCGCAUGAUCAGCUUUUGAAAGGCGGCGUAAGCUGUCGCUAAGGGAUGGCCCCGCGGUGCAUUAGCUAGUUGGUAAGGUAACGGCUUACCAAGGCGACGAUGCAUAGCCGAGUUGAGAGACUGAUCGGCCACAUUGGGACUGAGACACGGCCCAAACUCCUACGGGAGGCAGCAGUAGGGAAUCUUCCACAAUGGACGCAAGUCUGAUGGAGCAACGCCGCGUGAGUGAAGAAGGUUUUCGGAUCGCAAAGCUCUGUUGUUGGUGAAGAAGGAUAGAGGUAGUAACUGGCCUUUAUUUGACGGUAAUCAACCAGAAAGUCACGGCUAACUACGUGCCAGCAGCCGCGGUAAUACGUAGGUGGCAAGCGUUGUCCGGAUUUAUUGGGCGUAAAGCGAGCGCAGGCGGAAAAAUAAGUCUAAUGUGAAAGCCCUCGGCUUAACCGAGGAACUGCAUCGGAAACUGUUUUUCUUGAGUGCAGAAGAGGAGAGUGGAACUCCAUGUGUAGCGGUGGAAUGCGUAGAUAUAUGGAAGAACACCAGUGGCGAAGGCGGCUCUCUGGUCUGCAACUGACGCUGAGGCUCGAAAGCAUGGGUAGCGAACAGGAUUAGAUACCCUGGUAGUCCAUGCCGUAAACGAUGAGUGCUAAGUGU